rnacentral:rRNA from 1 species
UACGGAAGUGGCUAGCGUUGUGCGGAAUUACUGGGCGUAAAGAGCGCGUAGGCGGCUUACCAAGUGGGGGGUGAAAUCCCGGAGCUCAACUCCGGAACUGCCUUCAAAACUGGUAGGCUCGAGUCCGGAAGAGGGGCGUGGAAUUCCCAGUGUAGAGGUGAAAUUCGUAGAUAUUGGGAAGAACACCGGUGGCGAAGGCGGCGCCCUGGUCCGGUACUGACGCUGAGGCGCGAAAGCGUGGGGAGCAAACAGG